GCUGAAGUCUACAUGAAAUGCCCAGUGUAAAAUUUCUGCCUAGAAUGUCAUGAUCAUGAACCUGAAGAUGAGAGAUGAUUUCCUGUAGUGUAAGUGGAGGAGCCAGGACUUGAACCGCGGCAAUGGGGGUCGGCACCAACAGGCUAAACUGCCUCCCAGGGCACUGGGCACAUCUUUCCUUCUCACCCUUGCACUGUGUCACAAGGGGCAGCAGCUGUCUUUAAUUUCAUGUUUCACUCUCUCAAAAUUUCCCCCUUUUUUAUUUUCUAAAACUCAGCCUACACUGAUUAAUUGCUGUCCCAUGCUCUACUGCCUUUGUCCUGGGUCUCUCUCCUUCUUAGACACCUCCACUUUAAAGCAAUCUGGAAUCCCUGACUUCUCCAGCUCUAUAUUUUUGGCCAGUUUGUCAUCAUUUGCAUAAAGAAGCUCAAAAGACAGCCUGGGGGCAUGCCACACCCUCCUACAAAGGGGCAGGAGGAGAGACACAAUUCUCAUCACACAUUUUCAAGUUUCUAGAAGAUGCCUCUGCAAUACUUCAGUACGGAGCACACACUUCCUGAACUACUCCAAGUGGAAAUGAUUUCACCUUUCUCUGAAUCUUUAUAGAAUGUGUUUCUGUUUCUAUUGAUUUGACCCUAGUAUUUAACCAUACAAAGCGAAUGGUAGGUGUGUUGCCUUUAGCAAGUUAUUCAUCACUUUGUACCUUAGUUUCUUUCUCUGUAAAAUGGAGAAAAUAAUAUCUACACUUCAAGGUCGUGGGAGGGAUUAAAUAACGCAAGAUACCUAUUAAUACUUGGCAUACAGUUGACAAUCAUUAGUCAUGAGUUCAUCUUGAAUCUGAUUCUGAAGGCAGAAUAUGUAUCUUUCCUCAUACCUGCAGUGUUGAGUCAUUGUAUUAGUCCUGAGGAAGUGACUGGAAAAGAAGUCUCAAUUUCACUGCCAAAGAAAUAAUUGGAUCAAGGUUACAUAGCGUAUUUAAAAAAAAAAAAAAACAACUCAAGCAAACAAACAAAAUAAAUGUGUGCAUGCUUAUAACCCUCUUAUGCAUGAUUUCCAGGUCAGACAUUUCUAAAUGUAGCCUUCUGUGGACACCUUUGAGCACUGAAUGACAGAUGGCAUAGAGUGAUGGACAAGGAAAUGGACCCAGAUAGGAAAUCUGGGUUCUAACCAUUCCUCCCUAGCUACGUGACCCAACUUAAGGUACUUAUUUUCCUUAGGCUCAGUAGGUCUUUUUUUGUUUGUUUUUGUUUUUUUAUCCUUUAAAUGGGAAAUACUAAAAAAAAAAAAAAAAAGCAAAACAAAAACAAAAACAAAAACAAAAACACCCAACAACCAAACAAUAGGGAUUUCUGCUUGCUUCAUAGAUUGGCUGUGUCAAGAAAGAUAACCUA
rnacentral:lncRNA from 1 species